rnacentral:lncRNA from 1 species
AUGACCUGUGGAAUUGGCCAAAUGACAUUAUGCAGUAGCCAAAACAGACACGGAAAACAGAAUCCAGUGUUCUCUUUGGCACAUGCCCACUCUGCAGUGCCUGAGGCUCCCAGGCCUCACCCCUUUGGGCACUGGUCUCAUAAGCUAAGCAAGGUUGGCUGUUCUCUGUGCUUGCCUGGGAGACGCCUGAGGAAGAUUCAUGGCGCUGUGGAAAAUGAGGUGGAGCUGCAGUAGGGGGGCACUCCUCUUCCCAUGGAAUCAAUCUUGGACCCUGGUUCCAGUCAGAUGAAAACAGGCACCAUCUUGUGUUUUUCAAUGAAAUUGAUAACCCAGGUCCUUGGCUCUUUGCACUCAUCAAGGAUCCCAUGGUACUUAAGCUAGCAUCCCACCCCCAUUCAUUCCAUCUGGCCCUGAUACUCUGAUUCACUUCCUGCCCUAAACUAUGUAAAGUUAAAAUGCUAUGGUGUUACACUUCUCAGCAGGCUCUGGUUGAUCUGUGGGCAAAGCAUUUUAGAUAAAGACCAAACCUUCCACCUGCUUGUGCAAAUAUGGGUGGCUGCAGGCAAAAGGGAUGCCUCCUCUUUCUGACGUAAGUGGUGGUAUACCUCAUCUACGGAGAAGUUAACGGGGUCCCAGAAAGGUUAUGUGAACUCAAGAGACCUGACUCCCAGUUGCUUGUUCUAGUGGUAAGAUUAUAAACCACCUUACCCCAGCUGCUAUUCCACAUCUCUUCAGUCCCUUUGUCUAGGCUCUGGUCUUAUGAAAGAAAUUGCAUCUAUUUCUCUUGGGGUGACACCAUGGGAGUCAAGGGCACUUAGCAGCUCCAGGACCUACUCAGUACCUCGCCCGAUCAAGCCCCUAGCAACUAGAACACUGUGGGCAAAUGGAACAAAUUGGCUGAUGUGGCUGCUGACUGAUUUCACAUUUAACUAACCACCACCAUUGCUGACACUUCUCCACAGCACAUCAGGGCUUCUCCCAAACCUCAGCCUGGUUUUCUUGGUCUCCCGAGUUCACAAGAGACCAGGGAAUGGGUUAAUGUGACUCUGCCCCUUUCUCUAGGGAUUGCUAAUACACCAGGGAGUGAGGAAAGCUAUUCAUUUAGUUGCAGCAGUCCUCUAAAUGUUGCUAGGCUGAUAUGCAAACCCCAGGCCUCCAGCAGGAAACAUUCAGUCUCCACAAGUGUCUGAACCCGAUAAAACACGCUGGCCGGUGACUGUAGUGACUUCAGGCCACUGCCUUCACCAGGCAGUUUAUCAAGAGCAGCAAAUGUUUUAAAAUGAGACUUAAUGGCAGUAAACGGGUUGUUGGGUCAGCCCCCUUUGACCUCACAUGUUACAUCGGGAGAGGUGCAUCUUUCUUUAGUAAAGGAGAAACUCCAGUGGGAUUUGAGUCUUGAGGGGGAUGCCAGCCUACCGCUGGGAGAAAUCUCAUGAGAACAACUGAGCUCCCACAGUAUGCAGCAGCUGGGACCGAAAUAUCAUGAGACAAGCAGUGAGAGUUUGGUGCUGUUCAACCCAAAGCUUCGAACUGGCCUGGCCUCUAGGCCCCUGAUCUGCUGCAAACACUGCGCUGUUAGUCCUCCUCUCAUACACACAGUGCACGUUACCACAGUCCAUGAGCAUGGUCUUAUUUGAACUCCUGCAUCGUUUUGUUGAAUCCUAGGUUCAAAGAGUUUUUAUGACUGAAAAUUCCAUCAGGUAAUCCUGCCCCUCUCCCGCUCCCCUUAAAAGUCAGAGCUACAGCCAUUUGUACCCACACGGCUCAAAGCUCACCCCUCUGAAGUCGCUAGUUCCUAGCCGUUUACACCAGGGAUCUUUCAUGUAAAUUCUCAGGCAUGUGACAUUCUGACCUUGAUCCUGGUGAGAAAGGAGAACUGCUAGGGGUCAAAGUGGGGAGGGAGCACAGAAAAAAAGGGUGCAGGAGGCCCUCCCUCUAACAGAGGGAUCUAAGGGGCUUUUGGGGUCUAGCCUGUCACUGGGUGAGGGGAAUGUUUUGUUCUCUUGAUAAAGGCAAAUACGCGGAAAAAAAUCUUAGUGCAACCAUCAAGUGUACUUUAAUUCUCAGCAUCCAGCAGCACUUGUCAACCCUGAGCAUAAACUAGGGCUCGUAAACUUCCCCAAGCAGCCUUGACCAAGUGGGGUAGCCCCUUAGCUCCACUUGAAAGUAGCCUCCACUGCAGCUUCUUCCUAGCAUUGUCUUCUCCAUGCACCCUCCACCCCUGCAGUCUUGUGGGCCCUCCCCAUCCCCCAUUUUAAAACUCCUAUAGUACUUAGUGGUAUGCCUCCAAUUCCCAUUAGUAAGCCAGCGUGCAAAUACACACCUAGGAUAUUGCAUCAGACUCCUCUCAGCGCUUUACAAUGUCAAACAGCAGUUCAGUACCUGGUAAACAGAUACACCCCCUGUCAGUCCUGCACACAUUGCUCCUAGCUACUCUUGGAUAUGCUAGAUGCCCUUGUUCAUCUACAGCUGGAGCAGGCGAGCUUUAGUUGAACAGGCUACACAAAGUACAACUUGCCUCAGAGAGAGGAAGCUACUGUCCAGUUUCAGCCCUUAGUCAUGAGCCCAUUCAGAUACAUUGGUUCUAGGUUUCAUCCCAAAGGACAGGGGAAGAGGGACAGUCAUUCUUUUGGUGUGAAGCUUCCAAAUGAGAGUUACAUUAGAGACUGGGAAUGUUCCAGGAGCUUGGCAGGUGUGUAGACUUUUCCUGUGCAGGACCCUGUAACAAUCCAGAGGCUGAAACCUCUUAUUCCUACAUCAGCAUUAGCAGAUUGCCUUUUGAACCAGCCCCUCCAACGGAGGGAUGGAUCUAAGGGGGCUUUUGGGGUUCUAGCCUGGCACUGGAUGAGGGAAAUGUUUUAUUGUCUUGAUAAAGGCUAAACAUUUCACUUUCCAUUGUGCGGGUCACUACUCCGUUUCCACCUGGAAAGCUCUACAGGGUGGUUCAUUGUUAUUCCACCAAGCCACCGCUGGGUUUUCACAAACAGGGAGCUGGCAGCCUAGACAAUUGUUUUGAUGUGGCUUUUUCUAGAAAUAAGCCUGGGGCAAAACUGAUCUGGAUCCAGCAAUCUAUUUCUAUAAUGGGCUGAAUAUUUAUUGAAAGGGAGACAUCUGGGUCAGUUUUCCCUUGUAACUAUUGCUUCCUGUUUUGGGCACCUGUUAGGAAGUUGGAGGUAAUGGGAAAAAUCUCUUUUAUUAAGCAAAAGGUACACUGUAGUACAGCUUUUUCAUUCACAAAUUAGUCUUCCUAUUGGCUUCAGGGGGAGCUAGGUGAAGAUCCUGGGGGAAGACAGACUACAUUUAGCACUCCGCAUACUGAAUUCAAAGGAGCUUGGCUUUAGUGAAGAACAAGGAAUGCUGACAAGAGGUGCAGGGAGAAAAAGAGGCACUUACACAUCAACAGAUUUGGGUUUUGUGACCACCAAAACCCUUGAACAAAAAAGGCUUGAGGGAGAAAAAUAUUGCUAAAUAAUCUGUUGCCCUUCUAGUAUUUCUAAACUAGUGACUUCUCAGACCAUGAUCCUCCCCCCAGCGUAGAAUCAUAUUGAGACAGUAUUCAUUGGGGUGCUGCGCUGUCACUACCACAUAAAAGUCCUGGGGCAGCCAAGAACCUAAUUACUUACACAAAAAAAGUUCUAAUUUUAUGCUUCUCUCCCCUGCCCCCUACCCUGAGUGAGCUGGAGCAAUGCUGUAUGAAAUUUAUCUGCAGCCUGAAACAACAGCAGUGACUAGAGUAAAUCAAUGUCUACUAGUCUAAAGGGGGUGUUUAGUCUGAAGCAUAAUAAUAACAACCCUAUAAAUGUCAAUAUUGUUACCUAUUUUACUGCUGAAAAGGUGUAGCAAAAACCAUCCAGCUAGUCUAGGAUAAUGGGUGGGAGCUGGGAUUGUGGGUAGAGUAUCACCACUUCUUUUGCCCCUAACCUGACACUCCCACUAAUGAUUUUAUGCAUCAGAAUCUUCUUAGCAGCAGCAUGUGGUAGUGCUAAAACACAAGGAUGGCUUAAGUCUUACUUUUUCAGUGACCAGCAAUAGAAGAAAAAGUCAAGAUAAGAAAAAAAAAAGUUCUUUGUAGAUGUUUAUAGAGGUGAAAUAAAAGGAAAAUUAAAACAUGUUUAAAUAGAUUC